rnacentral:rRNA from 1 species
AGAACGAACGCUGGCGGCAUGCCUAACACAUGCAAGUCGAACGAGACCUUCGGGUCUAGUGGCGCACGGGUGCGUAACGCGUGGGAAUCUGCCCUUAGGUUCGGAAUAACAGUUAGAAAUGACUGCUAAUACCGGAUAAUGUCUUCGGACCAAAGAUUUAUUGCCUAAGGAUGAGCCCGCGUAAGAUUAGCUUGUUGGUGAGGUAAAGGCUCACCAAGGCGACGAUCUUUAGCUGGUCUGAGAGGAUGAUCAGCCACACUGGGACUGAGACACGGCCCAGACUCCUACGGGAGGCAGCAGUGGGGAAUAUUGGACAAUGGGCGAAAGCCUGAUCCAGCAAUGCCGCGUGAGUGAUGAAGGCCUUAGGUGUAAGCUCUUUACCGGGAUGAUAUGACAGUACCGGAGAAUAAGCCCCGGAUAACUCCGUGCCAGCAGCCGC